ACUCACUGCAUCACAACCUCCCCACACUCAAACACUAUCUCCGAUUCCCACCAACACUCAUACACUGCAUCCUAACCUCUACUCCACUCACUCACUGCAUCACAUCCUCCCCCCAAUCCCACCAACACUCAUACACUGCAUCCUAACCUCUACUCCACUCACUCACUGCAUCACAUCCUCCCCCCAAUCCCACCGACACUCAUACACUGCAUCCUAACCUCUACUCCACUCACUCACUGCAUCACAAUCUCUACUCCACUCACUGCAAC